AUUGCUUCUUGGCCUUUUAGCUAAGAUCAAGUGUAGUAUCAGCUCUUAUCAGCUCUUAUCAGUUCUAAGAAAUAAAAAAAAAAAUUGGUUCAUUCAUUAUCAAAAAGUAAUCUUU
rnacentral:snRNA from 1 species